UAUAAGUGCAGUCACCAGUCAUGAGUUUUGUACCCAACUUUAAUCAUUUAUCUUAUUUGAAAAUUUUUUACGAUUAGUAUUUUUAUCGUUAUUAGAUGAUAAAACAUGAAUAGUACUUUAUGCGUGACUUAUGUUUUUAAACUUUUUUAAAAAAUUUAAAUAAGAUGGACGAUCACGGAAAAUCACGACUGCACUUAUA
rfam:Oryza sativa Japonica Group DNA, chromosome 10, cultivar: Nipponbare, complete sequence.